rnacentral:rRNA from 1 species
UACAGAGGUCUCGAGCGUUAGGCGGAAUCACUGGGUUUAAAGCGUGUGUUGGCGGAUCGUUAAGUUCCUUGUGAAAUCCCACGGCUCAACCGUGGAACUGCUUGGCAUACUGGCGGUCUUGAGCAACCUAGGGGCGAGCGGAACAAAUGGUGGAGCGGUGAAAUGCGUAGAUAUCAUUUGGAACGCCAAUGGUGAAAACAGCUCGCUGGGGGUUUGCUGACGCUGAGACACGAAAGCCAGGGGAGCAAACGGG